rnacentral:lncRNA from 1 species
AGAAAAACAAGAAUGAAAUAUGGAAGUCAACUGCCAAUCUGUCUGGACUUAGGUUAACUCCACAGAUGCUCAUAGGAAAUCCAAUGCCACAUUACAGGGACUUAUAAUGGAUCCUCACAUACAAGAACAAAAGCAACACAUGAUCACAGGAAAGCAAAUGCCAACUUACAGGGACUUAUAAUUGCAACCUCACAUCAACAAAGAAA